AACGAACGCUGGCGGCAUGCCUAACACAUGCAAGUCGAACGAUGCUUUCGGGCAUAGUGGCGCACGGGUGCGUAACGCGUGGGAAUCUGCCCUUCGGUUGGGAAUAACUGAGAGAAAUUUCAGCUAAUACCUUAUAAUGUCUUCGGACCAAAGAUUUAUCGCCGAGGGAUGAGCCCGCGUAGGAUUAGGUAGUUGGUGGGGUAAUGGCCUACCAAGCCGACGAUCCUUAGCUGGUCUGAGAGGAUGAUCAGCCACACUGGGACUGAGACACGGCCCAGACUCCUACGGGAGGCAGCAGUGGGGAAUAUUGGACAAUGGGCGCAAGCCUGAUCCAGCAAUGCCGCGUAAGUGAUGAAGGCCUUAGGGUUGUAAAGCUCUUUUACCAGGGAUGAUAAUGACAGUACCUGGAGAAUAAGCUCCGGCUAACUCCGUGCCAGCCGCCGCAGUAA
rnacentral:rRNA from 1 species